UCUGGUGGUUUUAGCGCAUUGGUCCCACCCGUACCCAUUCCGAACACGGAAGUGAAACGAUGCAGCGCUGACGAUACUUGGAUGGCAACGUUUUGGGAAAAUAAGUCACUGCCAGAU
rnacentral:rRNA from 2 species